UAUUCCUAUCCCCAGAUCUCUGCCUGAGAGCCCCUUGAUUUCAGGAUUAUCAUAAUUCGGAGCAGGGGGGGGUCUACAUUUUUCAUUCCAAGGGAGGUUCCUGCCCUCCCUAGCAGACACCUGUCUCCCAAAACCGAGACAUUUCCAUGAGUAAAUUUUACAAAGUUUUCAAUAAAAUUCUUAUUGAUAAAUUUGACUCCAUUUCAUUUCUGACAAGCUGUUCCUAAAGAUCCCAUCAGGCUGUGUUAGACACUUUGGGCAAGGGAUUCCUUCCAAGCUGGGCCACUUGUGGGGGGGAUGGGGGCAGCCCCUCAGCUCUGGCUGCUCUUUGCCAGAUGCAGCCAUGGACGGCACACAAGAGCAGGACACCGCCCGUGGCCGCUUCCGCAGAGCAGCGCAGUUUCUUUACCAAUACAUCACCAGAAUUGGCAAGGAAGACACCAGUCCCAUGGACACUGAGGUCAAGGCAUCCUCAGAGGUCUUGGUAGAGCAGAGCAGCGCUGCCCAGCUGGAUAUGCUUGUAGAGACGGCUCUUUUCAAUCCAGAGCAAGUGCCCGCCGUGGUGAGGUACAUCCACCAGUGGCUCAUGGCCAAUGAGGCUGCUGAGCACAGGAUGGACUGGNNNNNNNNNNNNNNNNNNNNUCGGUGCACGCGACGGGUCAGGACGCGCCAGAGCGGUGCUGUGAGGAGCCCCCGCACAGCGCACUCCUUUGUGUCGGACCUGGAGCUUUUCUGAAGCACUGUUCCUACAGGUGACCUCGAGGCCAGACCACAGGUCUUGCUGACCUGUGGCCUUGCUGAGCCUUCCUUCUUAAGGUUCUCUUGAGGGCAGACCGUGGGACUUGGUGACCCGGAGCUUUUCCGAGGUGUCGCCCAUCCCUGCAGUCUCUGCCCUUGAGACCAGACCACAGUCCCUGUUGAGGAGCCUCCUGUCCUUGUGGCAGGAGCCCUCAAGACCCAAGUGCAGGACUCGCUGUCUUGCAAUCUUGCCAGGACUUGAGUCUUGCAGGUGCCUUCCAGGCACGACUGCAGGACUUGCUGACUCUGAGCUUUUCCGAGCCAUCUCUCCUGCAAGUAG
rnacentral:lncRNA from 1 species